rnacentral:misc_RNA from 1 species
AACGCACAUUGCGCCUUCUGGUAUUCCGGGAGGCAUGCCUGUUCGAGAGUCAUCAACAACCAUUUCGAAUCCUCCUUUUCGGUUCUCGAGAGGAUUGGGGGGAAUCGGUAUUGGUGGUGGAGGAAUGAGUUGCUGAGCUCCCCCGCUAUGCUUAGCAAAUCUCCUCCCCACUGAAAUUUAUAGGCGGUCUGUAUUCUGACCCACGUGUUUAAUUGCGCUUCAAAGGACGCUCCUUCUUCAUUGAGGGGCCGCUUUUCGCUUGUAACCGUUUGGGUCCGCGUGACCGGCCAUUUCCGUAUCUUAUAUAUACAUUUUGCAAAGGUUGACCUCGGAUCAGGUAGGGAUACCCGCUGAACUUAA